AGAUCUUAUAGUUUAAUUAAAAUUUAAGACUGCAAUUCUUAAGAUGCAUAUUUGUUYGCUAAGAU
rnacentral:tRNA from 1 species